AAAUAUACCUGGUCCAGCCAACACGCAUUAGGCCCUGUUGUUUCAUAAUUCCAGGUAUUUUUUUUAGUCCCAACUAAAAAAAUCCCUAGUCCCUGUUUGUUUUCAUGGAUUUAACGUAUGCUGAAGGUCAUUAAAUGUCAUGAAAAAAAAUACGUUGCCUUAAUAAUGUAUUAGAAGAUAUUAAAUGACAUGCUAAACGUAGGGACAUUGUUGGAAAAAGUGUCAAAAAAGUCUCAAAAAGACCCUUUCAUAGAGGCUUUCUUCCUUUAAUAUCAAAUACCCUCUUUUAGUCCCUAAAAGUUCUUCUUGUUUGUUUUACGUAGGACUAAAAGAGACUUUUUUUAGUCCCUACACUAAGGCCCUGUUUGUUUCAGAAGUCUCGGGACUUUUUUUAGUCCCAACUUAAAAGUCUCUAGUCCCUAUCCGUUUGUUUACAGGGAUUAAAUAGGGACUAGAGGUCAUUAAAUGAUAUGCAAAAAGACCAUGUUACGCUUACCUUUUCAGACCUCGAUCCGUUCUGCCCGGUUGCCCUUUACCUUUUCAGGCUGGACAUGUUGUUUUCUAUUCAAGUUCCGCCAUCAAAUUAAGUGUGGAUAAGAAAAGGAUGAAAAUAUAUUAAAGGUGGAUAAAACGGACUGGAGUAAACUAAACAAGUCUUCCCUUUUCUCCUAGUGUAAUCAUCAUUCUUCAUUGUUGUCCUGCCAUCGCUAGCCUGAACAAGGACGAUAGUGCCUGGCUUUCCUGUACUCUUUUUUGCAUCCUAACAAACUGUCUAGCACCAUAAACUUUGCUUAACUGUUAGUAUAUGUGUGUUUAAUUAAGCAUUGUCGUCAACCGAGUGGUGAUGUCGAAAGCUGCUGACAGCUCUCAAAUUCAGAAUGCACCUUCUGUUUGUGCAAAAUAUUCUUCCUAUUUUCCAUCACACCAGAAGUUUUCAGGAUAUGCAGAAAUUUGCAAAAUUGAUGCCUUGUGCAACGUAGCAGACACUACCUGAAUAAGCAUCAGAAUGCAGAUAUACUUGUCAGUUGAGUUUCCUGCCUCUUGUCUUCAGGAUCUUUUGCCAUCUGAUUGUGUUCCCCUGCCACAUGGUACAUGUUGCGCCCUCGAUCAAGCCUCGGAGAGAUUCCGCUUAAGAUUGGCAUUGCAGAAGUUUAGAUCAAACAAGACAAAAUACAUUUGGCAGGCAUAAAAUCCACGAACUAGUAUAAAUAUGCCUGGUUUAAUUACCACACGGUAGGAGUAGUUAGCACAUGCUUCCAAGCUUUAAUUUGUGCUAAUGGAGUAUUAUCCAAGGACUUGACAUGAAGUGCCAAGAGACUGCGU
rnacentral:lncRNA from 1 species